rnacentral:rRNA from 1 species
GACGAACGCUGGCGGCGUGCUUAACACAUGCAAGUCGAACGGUGAUGCUCCAGCUUGCUGGAGUGGAUCAGUGGCGAACGGGUGAGUAACACGUGAGCAACCUGCCCCAGACUCUGGAAUAAGCGCUGGAAACGGCGUCUAAUACUGGAUACGAAACUGGCCCGCAUGGGCAUGGUUUGGAAAGUUUUUCGGUUUGGGAUGGGCUCGCGGCCUAUCAGCUUGUUGGUGAGGUAAUGGCUCACCAAGGCGACGACGGGUAGCCGGCCUGAGAGGGCGACCGGCCACACUGGGACUGAGACACGGCCCAGACUCCUACGGGAGGCAGCAGUGGGGAAUAUUGCACAGUGGGCGAAAGCCUGAUGCAGCGACGCCGCGUGAGGGAUGACGGCCUUCGGGUUGUAAACCUCUUUCAGCAGGGAAGAAGCGAAAGUGACGGUACCUGCAGAAGAAGCACCGGCUAACUACGUG